rnacentral:rRNA from 1 species
GAUGAACGCUAGCGGCAGGCCUAAUACAUGCAAGUCGAACGGUGUCUUCGGACAUAGUGGCGCACGGGUGCGUAACACGUAUGCAACCUACCUUACAUCGGGGGAUAGCCUUUCGAAAGGGAGAUUAAUACCGCAUAAGACAGUAACUAGGCAUCUAGUAGCUGUUAAAGAUUUAUCGCUGUAAGCUGUGCAUGCGUCCAAUUAGCUAGUUGGUGAGGUAAAGGCUCACCAAGGCAAUGAUUGGUAGGGGAACUGAGAGGUCAAUCCCCCACACGGGCACUGAGAUACGGGCCAGACUCCUACGGGAGGCAGCAGUAGGGAAUAUUGGGCAAUGGACGCAAGUCUGACCCAGCCAUGCCGCGUGCAGGAUGAAGGCGUUAUGCGUUGUAAACUGCUUUUAUACAGGAAGAAACGACUCUUGCGAGAGGCAUUGACGGUACUGUAUGAAUAAGCACCGGCUAACUCCGUGCCAGCCGCCGCGGUAAAAC